AUACAUUUUAUGGUACGUGAAUGAUCUCUCAGUAAUACUGUCACACAAAAUACUAAUGUGCUUUCUAAAAUUAACUUUUGUAAGAAAAAGAAUAAAUAUCUUGUUAGGUAAAUUUCUAUAAGAUAAAAGAACUGUGGCAGGGAUUCAGAAUUGUCCUCUAAUAUCCAGUUUCUUCCCAUUUCUCCUAGUUUUGGUCAUAAAGCCAUUUAACUGGACUAUGUUUCCCAGCUGCCCUUGCAAGUAGGUGCAGCCAUUUGAACAAAUUCUGGCCUAUCGUCUAAGAAUGAAAUGUUUUGCGAAACUGCUCUGUUGUGCUCUUAAAAGGAAGCUGCUGGCCCUCGACUUCAUCCUUCCCAUCUUAGGUGGGCUGAAAUGUGAGCAUGAGAGUGGGGAGCCCUCUUGGAAUGGCCGUCAAGAGCAAUCAUGAGUCAUGAAUCAUGGGCAUGAAAAUAAAUGGGCCAUGCCCUAGGGCAUGACAGAAAAUAAAAUGGAAGGGAGCUGGGCUGCUGGACCAUCUUGAGAAACAGAACCUUCUGAACCACUCUGAUACGGGAGAGAAAUAAAUUCUACCACAUAUUGGCCUUUGUUAUUUAGGGCACUUUUAAAAAAAAUUGUAUUUUUAAGUAAUCUCUACACCAAAGAUGGUGCUCGAACUCCCAACCCCAAGAUCAAGAGUUGAACGCUCUUCCAACUGAGCCAGCCGGGCACCCAAGAUGAUGUUCGAACUCCCAACCCCAAGAUCAAGAGUUGAACGCUCUUCCAACUGAGCCAGCCAGGCACCCCAAAACUUCAUUUCUUUUUUUUAAGUAUUCUCUACACCCAAUGUGGGGCUUAAACUCAAGACCCCAAUAUCAAGAGUCACGUGCUCUACCACCAGGCACCCCUAUUCUGGACAUUUUUAAAGCAGUCAAUCCAAUCUAAUUUAUAUAAUAACUCUUUGGGAUGAGAUCAUGGUAAUUUCUGUUAAAGACUGUUCUUUCUGUGGAUCUAUGCUCAAAUGGUUUCAAAUAAAUAACUCUGAGGGUACAGGAUAAACAAGGCACCGUCCUUUUCCUCUGAGAGCUCAAUAGUGGAAGAAUUUGUGCGUGAGUAGCUAAUGGAAAGCGCAAAAGAUAUAAAAGCAGAGAUUCAAAUAGAGUUUUGUGGAACUACACAUGAAAUUGUCACCGGAGGAAGAUGGAGAAAACCGAGUGGGCACGGGUUAGAAAACCUAUUGGCCAGUGGAUGAAGUCUUCGUGGCCUGGGCCAUACUCCCCUUUGAACUUCAGUUUUGUGCUUUAUGGUCCAGGGUUGGACUAGAUGCUCCCUGAGCUUUCAUUCUCCUCUGGAAGUCAUUGGUUCUGUGACAUCAGAUGUUCUGGAGAACUCUGAGCUCAAGGCACUCGUGGGAAGGUAGUGUGGUGUAUGGGUUCAAGCCGGGGUGACAACUGUGUACCCCCUGGCAUGGUACCCACCUGACCGAGACUCAGAUUGUCCCCAUGUCAAAUAAGGACAACAUUCUCUACAAUCAGUGAGAGCCAGGCUCGGCACGGUUAAAUGACGUACACGGACGGGGUAACCGGAGGGGACGAGGGCGAGUUCCGGACGCCCUUGACUUGACUCUAUGUUCUGACCGCGUGUGCUGCUGCUUGAUCUUAAUGAAGACAGUAUUUCCAUCGUCGGAAUGCAGUUCGGCAGGAGCCACAGAGCCAUUGAUGCCCGGGCCCUUUGCAGAAAAACAAGUGGGUCCGCUCUUCCAGGCCUUUCCUUGGC